GUGAGUCAUCGAAUCUUUGAACGCACAUUGCGCCCGCCAGUAUUCUGGCGGGCAUGCCUGUUCGAGCGUCAUUUCAACCAUCAAGCCCCCGGGCUUGUGUUGGGGACCUGCGGCUGCCGCAGGCCCCGAAAACCAGUGGCGGGCUCGCUGUCACCCCGAGCGUAGUAGUUUACACCUCGCCCAGGGCGUGCCGCGGGUUUCCCGGCCGUUAAACCCCCCAUACCACAAGGUUGACCUCGGAUCAGGUAGGAAGACCCGCUGAACUUAAGCAUAUCAAUAAGCGGAGGA
rnacentral:misc_RNA from 1 species